rnacentral:lncRNA from 1 species
GGGAUUUUCCUGGUAUAAUUUCUAAUCCUGUUUAGGCCUUGUUGAUAAUAGACUGACAAUCCUUAGUACAAAGGGAAAGUGAAGUCUAGUGGUUACAGCAGAAAGUAGUCAUGAUAGGGUUAGCUAGGUUACCCAGAGUAUUACGGGAUGAAGAUAUGCUCCACCCUGUUUAAUCAGUGGGAAAUUCCCCCACCACACACACUGUUGUGACGCAGUCAGAUAAAGCAGCAUGUUCCUAGGUGAUUUGUUAUUUUUGUUGCACUGAAGCUGUCUCUUUUCAAAAGCCAGGAUUUCGGAUUCCUGCUUUCCAACUUCAGCUCUGCCUUUUAAAUUGCCUUGGGGCAAAUUCCUUUGGCCCAGAUUGUCACUAGUAGCCUCGGUUGUUGGGUGCCCAGCUUUAAACACCUGUGGAUUGCUUCUCAGAGAUGCUGGACACACACAUCCCUCUAUGUCUUUUAAUUAGCUUUGAUUAGCAGGCCCAAGGAGUCCUAUACCGGGCACUCACCAUAGGAAGCUCCUAACAUUUGAGAUUUUAAAAAAUAUUUCCUUUCCUUUCCCUGUGUCCCAUGUUUUUCAUCUUCAACAAGUGAUAUUAACACUUCAACCUCCCCCACCAUGGUGUUUGUAAGGCUGAAAUAUUUACUGCUAGCCAUUUCUAAGGGGCAGCAUGUAGCUGUGAUCACCCAGCCGCUGACCGGGGAAUGAAUUGUGACUCAAAAAAGCCCCAUUUUGGUCUGUGAUUCCUUCUUUGCUCAGGGUGAACAGUGAGCUGCACCCAUGUACUGCACUCCUCUGUACCAGCUCAGCUGUGCUGACCAGGAUGUGGGAAAAUGGGAGACCACUGCCCAUCCAUCAGCAUGGGGGAGGCUGGCAAAAGCUAGUCUUUGUUCCACAGCAAUUCCCCGUCCCUCCCCUGGAUGCAGAAGGACUCCAUUAGCUCCCCAAAAGAAGAUGUGUGAUCAGAAGAGGCAGCUGGUUAGAACCCCUAAUGGCUGCUGGACUACCACGCUUCAUAUUCUUAGUUUAAAAAGUUCCUACUUAAAAAGCGACACAAGAGACAGAACUUGGAGGCUUCACAAGUGAACAGCCAAGAGAAUGAAAAGGCCUUCUAUACUCUUUUUGUUUGUUUCAACAUGACUACAUUAAGCACCUCUGCAUUAUUUUAAAAUCUUCUUGACUAGGAGUAGCAAAGAAUCCUGUGGCACCUUAUAGACUAACAGAUGUUUUGGAGCAUGAGCUUUCGUGGGUGAAUACCCACUUCGUCAGCGGGUAUUCACCCAUGAAAGCUCAUGCUCCAAAACGUGUUAGUCUAUAAGGUGCCACAGGAUUCUUUGCUGCUUUUACAGAUCCAGACUAACACGGCUACCCCUCUGAUACUUGACUAGGAGUGGGAUUUUUCAGAAUUGCCUUCGGGAGUUAGGUGCCAAUGGGAGCUGAGUGUCUAACUAGGCUUACUUUAAAAUCUUAGCCUUCAACUGCUGUAAAUUUUCUGACGUUUGAUUUUUGUUGCAAUUUUGGAGUUAAAUGAAAAAAAAUCUGGAAAAAAAGUCAACUAAAGUUUGGUAUGUUUUUUGACCAGUUCUAUUAUCGAUAAAUGUUUCUCUAUGCAACCCAAAGAAAGAGUAGCCAUAACUGCUGUUGUAAAUGCCCUUGUUUCGUCCUAUCUGCAGUUUUAAUUUUGAGGACAUAGUGGGCUACUGAUUUUGCUCCUGUACAUUUUCCCUCACAGAUACCUGCAGGUGCACUUUGUACAACUUAGACGUCUAUGCAUUAUUGCCAACCUCAGGCCUCCAAAAUUGAGAGAUUAUCUUAAGUCACGAGAUUUUUUUUAAAAUAUACAUUUUGGAUUUGCUUUAUUUGCCUUACAGUUUUAGAAUAUUUAGGUUACAGUUGGGUCACAUGUUCAACCUUUACUCUGCAACCAUAAGGGCUAGGAACUUUUUUUAAAAAAUAAAAGCUGAGAUUGUCACA